rnacentral:rRNA from 1 species
GGGAUUGCCCUAGUAACGGCGAGUGAAGCGGCAACAGCUCAAAUUUGAAAUCUGGCCUCUUUGGGGGUCCGAGUUGUAAUUUGCAGAGGGUGCUUUGGCGUUGGCUGUGGUCUAAGUUCCUUGGAACAGGACGUCGCAGAGGGUGAGAAUCCCGUAUGUGGCCGCCAGUCUUCGCCGUGUAAAGCCCCUUCGACGAGUCGAGUUGUUUGGGAAUGCAGCUCUAAAUGGGAGGUAAAUUUCUUCUAAAGCUAAAUAUUGGCCAGAGACCGAUAGCGCACAAGUAGAGUGAUCGAAAGAUGAAAAGCACUUUGGAAAGAGAGUCAAAAAGCACGUGAAAUUGUUGAAAGGGAAGCGCUUGCAGCCAGACUUGCUUGCAGUUGUUCAGCCGGGCUCUUGCCCGGUCUACUCUUCUGCUCGCAGGCCAGCAUCAGUCCGGGCGGUUGGAUAAAGGCCUAUUAAACGUACCUCCCCUCGGGGAGGACUUAUAGGGUAGGCGACAUGCAACCAGCCCGGAUUGAGGUCCGCGCAUCUGCUAGGAUGCUGGCGUAAUGGCUGUAAGCGGCCCGUCUUGAAACACGGACCAAGGAGUCUAACAUCUAUGCGAGUGUUUGGGUGUCAAGCCCGAGCGCGUAAUGAAAGUGAACGGAGGUGGGAACCUUUCGGGGUGCACCAUCGACCGAUCCUGAUGUCUUCGGAUGGAUUUGAGUAAGAGCAUAGCUGUUGGGACCCGAAAGAUGGUGAACUAUGCCUGAAUAGGGUGAAGCCAGAGGAAACUCUGGUGGAGGCUCGCAGCGGUUCUGACGUGCAAAUCGAUCGUCAAAUUUGGGCAUAGGGGCGAAAGACUAAUCG